GACUUGAAAAUAAAAAUUAAUUAAUUGGGUAUGAGAACAAAAUAUAAACAUGCAAAAGAGAUUGAUUCAAUUGACGAGAAGAAAACGAUGGAUGAAUGGAGUUGUUGGGGGUUUACAAAUUCAUCUUAUCCGCUCUCUCUUAUUUACUCCUCUUGAUUUAUUUGCUUGAUUAACUAAUUGUUAUGCAACUUUCUUGGCCUACCCUUAACCCGAUCCCUCGGCGAAAAGAGCCUAUUACUAAUUACUGGCUUGCUAUCCCUAGCCUCCC
rnacentral:lncRNA from 1 species